rnacentral:lncRNA from 1 species
AAACGGGUUACAAUUUGAAUGGGUGGGCAAAUAUCUCCGCUCGCCACAUAUUAGGGUUUUGAAUAGAGUCUCAAAGUUAACCAGCUGAUUCAUAUUCCACCAUGCUCUUCUCCCACGCCUUCAUCCACUUCCCAAACCCUAUUUUUGUUUCUUUCCCUUUGAUUUCAAAACUCGCUUGGUUAGGGAUUUGUGUGUGCUUGUGAUAGCUAGGGAGUGAGCGAUAGGGGGAAACGACACUCGUGGUGGCUGCAUACGACAGAGGAACAUCAAAUUACGCCAGAAUUUGCUCUAGAUGAACAAAUCGACAUCAUCAAAGCACAACUAUGCCACCUUCUCGAGGUUAGUGAGCCAGAAAAGUGGGAUAAAGUUUGUCUUCUUCUUCUUCAGAACACAACAAAUGAGCAAAUGCGUAGGAUGAUCGUGACACGCUAGGGUGGACUUGGGCCUUAGUGACUAUAAAAUGAAGCUAGACAUAGUUUAAAUUUCGUCAUGUGCUCUUUAUUUCGGUAGUUUUUAAGAUAAU